AACACUAACAAUGUAAGGAGUUUUGCACUGUUUAUUAUCAGUUUAAUAUCUGAUACAUCCCCUCUCUGGGGACCAUAUAUUUAAUUGAUUUUUGGAGCAGGGUGAUGGAACAGGGGCUUGUUCAAUGCACUCUGUACAUUGACCCAGUAUUGCAAUGCCUCGCCUCUUUCUGGGGGGAUUGUUAACAAU